GUGCCUAAUACAUGCAAGUAGAACGCUGAAGAGAGGAGCUUGCUCUUCUUGGAUGAGUUGCGAACGGGUGAGUAACGCGUAGGUAACCUGCCUUGUAGCGGGGGAUAACUAUUGGAAACGAUAGCUAAUACCGCAUAACAAUGGAUGACACAUGUCAUUUAUUUGAAAGGGGCAAUUGCUCCACUACAAGAUGGACCUGCGUUGUAUUAGCUAGUAGGUGAGGUAAUGGCUCACCUAGGCGACGAUACAUAGCCGACCUGAGAGGGUGAUCGGCCACACUGGGACUGAGACACGGCCCAGACUCCUACGGGAGGCAGCAGUAGGGAAUCUUCGGCAAUGGGGGCAACCCUGACCGAGCAACGCCGCGUGAGUGAAGAAGGUUUUCGGAUCGUAAAGCUCUGUUGUAAGUCAAGAACGGGUGUGAGAGUGGAAAGUUCACACUGUGACGGUAGCUUACCAGAAAGGGACGGCUAACUACGUGCCAGCAGCCGCGGUAAUACGUAGGUCCCGAGCGUUGUCCGGAUUUAUUGGGCGUAAAGCGAGCGCAGGCGGUUUGAUAAGUCUGAAGUUAAAGGCUGUGGCUCAACCAUAGUUCGCUUUGGAAACUGUCAAACUUGAGUGCAGAAGGGGAGAGUGGAAUUCCAUGUGUAGCGGUGAAAUGCGUAGAUAUAUGGAGGAACACCGGUGGCGAAAGCGGCUCUCUGGUCUGUAACUGACGCUGAGGCUCGAAAGCGUGGGGAGCGAACAGGAUUAGAUACCCUGGUAGUCCACGCCGUAAACGAUGAGUGCUAGGUGUUGGAUCCUUUCCGGGAUUCAGUGCCGCAGCUAACGCAUUAAGCACUCCGCCUGGGGAGUACGACCGCAAGGUUGAAACUCAAAGGAAUUGACGGGGGCCCGCACAAGCGGUGGAGCAUGUGGUUUAAUUCGAAGCAACGCGAAGAACCUUACCAGGUCUUGACAUCCCGAUGCUAUUUCUAGAGAUAGAAAGUUACUUCGGUACAUCGGUGACAGGUGGUGCAUGGUUGUCGUCAGCUCGUGUCGUGAGAUGUUGGGUUAAGUCCCGCAACGAGCGCAACCCCUAUUGUUAGUUGCCAUCAUUCAGUUGGGCACUCUAGCGAGACUGCCGGUAAUAAACCGGAGGAAGGUGGGGAUGACGUCAAAUCAUCAUGCCCCUUAUGACCUGGGCUACACACGUGCUACAAUGGUUGGUACAACGAGUUGCGAGUCGGUGACGGCGAGCUAAUCUCUUAAAGCCAAUCUCAGUUCGGAUUGUAGGCUGCAACUCGCCUACAUGAAGUCGGAAUCGCUAGUAAUCGCGGAUCAGCACGCCGCGGUGAAUACGUUCCCGGGCCUUGUACACACCGCCCGUCACACCACGAGAGUUUGUAACACCCGAAGUCGGUGAGGUAACCUUUUGGAGCCAGCCGCCUAAGGUGGGACAGAUGA
rnacentral:rRNA from 1 species